rnacentral:pre_miRNA from 1 species
CAACUACUCCCUCUGUCCCAAAUUUCUUGUCUUAGAUUUGUCUAGAUACGGAUGUAUCUAAUACUAAAAUGUGACUUGAUACAUCCGUAUCUAGACAAAUCUAAGACAAAAAUUUUGGG